rnacentral:tRNA from 1 species
CACUAGGAAGCUGAAUAGGGUAACAGCGUUAGCCUUUUAAUCUGAAGAAUGGUGCCUCCCAACCACCUCUAGUGA